UACGUAGGGUGCGAGCGUUGUCCGGAAUUAUUGGGCGUAAAGAGCUUGUAGGCGGUUUGUCGCGCCUGCUGUGAAAUCUCAAGGCUCAACCUUGAGCUUGCAGUGGGUACGGGCAGACUAGAGUGUGGUAGGGGAGACUGGAAUUCCCGGUGUAGCGGUGAAAUGCGCAGAUAUCGGGAGGAACACCGGUGGCGAAGGCGGCUCUCUGGGCCUGUCCUGACGCUCAUGCGCGAAAGCUAGGGGAGCGAACAGG
rnacentral:rRNA from 1 species